rnacentral:rRNA from 1 species
GACAGGGGGCUCGAGCGUUAAUCGGAAUCAUUGGGCUUAAAGGGUGCGUAGGCGGGCCGCUAAGUGUUCUGUGAAAUCCCCCGGCUCAACCGGGGAAUCGCAGGGCAUACUGGCGGUCUUGAGGCAUGUAGGGGCGGACGGAACUGUAGGUGGAGCGGUGAAAUGCGUAGAUAUCUACAGGAACGCCGAUGGUGAAGACGGUCCGCUGGGCAUGUCCUGACGCUGAUGCGCGAAAGCUAGGGGAGCGAACGGG